UGUGUACCCAGGCCCUCAAGCACACACAUCCUGAGUUCUGCAGAACACAUUGGAAAAAUUCCCACCUCCUUGACCAAGUUCUUGAUUAGUCUGUUUGCAGCCUGAAGAUCCUCAGGGUGGUUGCUCUUCAGAAGCCUUGUCAGAAGCUAAAGAAUGAACACGAAGAGCAGCAGAACACCAUGCACAUGGGAUUCACUGAGUCGUCACUGAUGCAGUAAAGAUGGCUACACUGAACCCUAGAGUGGAGCUCUACAGACUCCCAGCCUCCGCACAGGACACAGAAAGGCAUGAACUACAUCACUCUAACCCUGCCAACACGACACUGAACAACCUAGAAAUCCACUGC